AGUAACGUAGCUAACGCGUGAAGUCAGCCGCCUGGGAGUACGGUCGCAAGAUUAAAACUCAAAGGAAUUGACGGGGACCCGCACAAGCGGUGGAUGAUGUGGAUUAAUUCGAUGCAACGCGAAAAACCUUACCCACCUUUGACAUGUACGGAAGUCGCUAGAGAUAGCUUCGUGCUCGAAAGAGAACCGUAACACAGGUGCUGCAUGGCUGUCGUCAGCUCGUGUCGUGAGAUGUUGGGUUAAGUCCCGCAACGAGCGCAACCCUCGUCCUUAGUUGCCAUCAUUAAGUUGGGCACUCUAAGGAAACCGCCGGUGAUAAGCCGGAGGAAGGUGGGGAUGACGUCAAGUCCUCAUGGCCCUUAUGGGUAGGGCUUCACACGUCAUACAAUGGUCGGUACAGAGGGUUGCCAACCCGCGAGGGGGAGCCAAUCCCAGAAAGCCGAUCGUAGUCCGGAUCGUAGUCUGCAACUCGACUACGUGAAGUCGGAAUCGCUGGUAAUCGCGGAUCAGAAUGCCGCGGUGAAUACGUUCCCGGGUCUUGUACACACCGCCCGUCACACCAUGGGAGUGGGUUUCACCAGAAGUAGCUAGCCUAACCGUAAGGGGGGCGGUUACCACGGUGAGAUUCAUGACUGGGGUGAAGUCGUAACAAGGUAACCAAUC
rnacentral:rRNA from 1 species